CGUCUGGAAGUGCGUGUGUGGAGUCUUGAAAUCUUAUCGUUGAUGGCUGAUAACAGGAAGCUUCAGUCAUUUCUACUGGAUUCAUCCUACUGGACAGCUGGCAUCUAAACUGAAGCUGUACCUGCUUGGACAGCCAAAGAGUGAUCCUGGACUGACUGCAGGAAGAUCAUUGAUACCUAUGGAGGUUGGGGAUCCCAUGGUGGAGGUGCAUUCUGUGGAAAAGAUCCCUUCAAAGUUGAUUAUUCUGCAGCACAUGCAGCUCAGUGGAUUGCAAAAUCUUCAGUGAAAGCUGAUAUCUGUGAAAGAGUAUUAAUCCAGCUCAUUGCCAUCAGAGUGGUGGUUCCCAGACACUUUCCUUGAUUUGGUGUGUUCAAAUAUGCUGCAUUUUUAAAAUACAUUAUCAUAGCCCUGGAAGUGGUGAAGGCAGUAAGAAGGGAAGAAAGCAGGCAAAAACAUGAGCAUAGUUUAAGAGCUGGAUUUGAAGAGGCCAAUCUAUCAAAACCCAGCAUGCUAUGGGCACUUUGGGAGAGAAGAAUAUACAUGGGAAAUACCCCAAAAGCUUCUGUAUUAAGUUUUUCAGAAUGUUUCAUGUAAUUGAUAGAUGAUUUAAUAAUCAGGUAAAAUUUCAAGCUGUUCAGGAAAAGACUGUAUUCUUUUUUAAAAUGACAUUCAGUAGUUAAUAGUUACUGAAAAUUGUUUGUAUUUAACUUCUAACUUUCACAGUGGCCUUACACUUUGAAUGCAUGAUGCUCUAUCUAACAUACUCUUCAGCUUUGUCUUUGAUAACAUGGGAGCAAUUAAGUCCUUUGGCUGUGACCAGAUAUCAAGUGCACACAUGGUUGUGGAAGUUGAAAUCAUUCCUGUUCUGCCAGAGAAGUCCACUACUGCUUACUCAGUUAACUUUGUACUGAAAUGGAUGAAGUUGGUAACUUCCAACAGCUCCCUGUGAGAGGAAAGCAGUAAUAGCAUAAAUUGCCAUAAUUCUUUGGGCCAGGACUUCCACAACUACAGCAUUAGUUAUGGUACUUCCAGUCCAAGCAAUUAGUAAAAAUACCCAUUUUGGAACAUUGUUCAUUGUAUCUCUAAAUAUACUUUGCAGUGCGGUAGUGUUGUUUGCUUUUUAUAUUAAAGUUUUGUAGGCAUAUCUGUGAAAACUGA